UGGGAAGGCCCUGUCCCCUGGUGUGCCUGGGUAUGUUGCAGACAAACUCUGCUGGGAGGUUGGCAUCAGGUCCCUGGGCAUUCUGCCCUGCUCUGUGGCUCCUCCAAGCUGACCUGGCACAUGCUGCCAGUUUCCCUUGUCCAGGGAAAGCCCUGCAGCCGGGCCCCUACCCUGGGCCAGUCAGUGCUCAGAGGAGCCUCAGCUAAGAAUAACCCAGCUCUGACGUCAGGAAUCUAGAAGACUGGCUGCAAGCUGCCUCCCAAGACAGCCAGGAAUAGUCCACAGAGAAGCCAGACUCCCGGUUCUUCCUCAGCCUGUCUGGCAGAGGACAGCAGCCCCGAGGAUGGGCACCUGUGCACCUUCUGCCUGCAUCUGAGACCCUGACCAGGCUGGCAGAGUGGUCACAGGUGACACCUUCAAUUUCAACUGACACAAAACCAAAGAUGUUUGGAAGAAGGAAAAAAAAAAGGUAUCACCUUGUUAUUCUCGUCCCAUUUCUAUUGCUGGGCAGUCCCAAGAAACUCAAGUCAAGGGUUCCCGGCCCAUUGCAAGGCAAGUUCCCGCCUCUCACCACCCGACCCCAAUAAAAUGAUAGCAUUCGCAAUGGCGGUCCUUGCCGUCCCGUGUGGCUAGAACUGUGUAGCUUGUCCACGUGCAGGGAGUUCCUACCAAUCCACUGAGAAUGGGAGUCUGAGCUUGGAGAGGCCGGGGAAGCACCAGCCCAGAGUGCACAGCGAGCCGGCAGCAGGACCGGAUCUCAGAGCCACUCUGGUGACCUCAUGUUUGGGUGGCUGUUCAUUCUGCGUAUCACCAAGGAACGGAAGAGUCUGGGGACAAUGACUACAUUGAAGGAGAGACUGGGUAACGAGGGAAAGCACGAAAUGAAAGACAGCGGUAAGCCUCCCAGUGACCUGAGCAGCCAGGACACCCUUUCCUCUGCCUCCUGGAAGCAGACUAUACCCAGUUCUCUACUCCAGGGCCAGGCGACCCAGCAUGGCCCUGCUGGUUAAACAAAGGAAGGUUUCAGGCCACAGUGGCAGCAACAGGAUGGGAGGUCCCUUCUCUGCUCAUGAGGCACUUCCCUAGUUCUACUCGGGUACCAGUGCAGGGCAGGGUGUGGUCCCCUUGGGUUGGGUCCCUCUAGUUCCUAUCAGGCCUCCUUUCUAAUGGAUGUGAAUUAUAUUGUGGGGUGGGGAGAGCUAGUUUGGCACUGACAGCAGCUGUCAAGGGUCCUAUCCAAGUCAUUCCUUCACUGAUCCUUAGGCCCACAGGGACAGAUAAAGAGACAGUGGGUCAGGGACUCCUCCAGGCCUUUGCUGGUCAUAAAGUGAUGACUGCAUUCAAACACAUUGAUGGAAACCAAUAAGCGGGCUUCCAUUUUUGUGGAAUCUUUCUGGAAGCUGUGCCCUUGGCUUGGCGUGUUAGAUAGGACGGCUCAUGGAGAAUCCUGAGCAGCCCAUGAGAAAAGAACCAAACUGGCAUUUUGCAGACCCUGGAGCGUUGAAGCCACCGGACCGGAAAGAUCAGCAGUUAAAGAAAAAUAACAAGCACAUCCAACCGGAGGCCCUCGGGUCGCCAUGAAUGCCGUUCAUAGAAUCAUGAACUUAAAAACACGGCCAGACCUGGCGAGGUGCUUGCAGAGUUAAGGGACUGCUGUGCAAUCUUGGUGACCCAACUUUGGUCCCAGGACCCCAUACAGAAGGGACAACUGAAUUGGUUCUACAGGGUUCACACACACACACACACACACACACACACACACACACACACACUAAGUAAAUAAACACUGAGAGGUUUUGGUCAUUAUUUUGGUAUCUCAGUGAAUGGCUCCUGAGCGCCAACCCUGCAGAUGACAAAGCUGUGUCAUGAUGUCAAAAGGCGUCUUUAUAAAGUAGGACUCGUGAGGGUGAACUAGCCCUAAGGGGUACCUGGUACACAUCAAGAUAUUUCUGUCCCAAGGGCCUCUAGGGAGUAAUAGCCAGAGAGGAAGGAUGUUAUACUCUGCCAAUGCCAAGGUACCUUCCAAAUGAGAAACUACCCUCUUCGACUGUCGCUAUGAAGAAGGAGAGGCACUUGAGCAAGGAUUUCACAGAAAGCCCUGGAAGGUUCUCUAGGUGACACUGACAGGCGGGGUGACAGAUGUGGAACACGCCCUUUGUUACCCUGCUCCGUGAAGAACAAGACCCAGGGCAGAGGCUGUUGCUAUGGAUGAACAAUCUCCAUGGAGGAAGGUAACAGGGGGAAGGCAAGAUCACCUUCCUUCCUUUGUUCAGUUCUAAGGCUAGACAAUCCAGGUGUCACCCACACUAGCUGGAAGUGAAGCUCGAAUACCGAGCCACUUCCCCGGCCCCUCACUAGGGGAUUGUAGGCAGGGGAUCUCCCACUGAACCAAUCUUGCAGCCCCUGUGUAAUUUCCAGAAAGGGUCUCACUAAGUUGGCUAGGGCUGGACCCGGACUCAUUCUGUAGACCUGGUAGGCUUUGAAGUUGUGAGCCUCCUAGGUACCUAGGAGAACACCACCCUGUGUGCCAGUAGGCGUGGCUCAAAACCUCAACAACAACAACAACAACAACCACAAUGAAAUACCAACAAUGGCAAAGCUAAGUCAGAGCUUCCUCCAUAGACACCUCAUCUGCGUAUUCAACAACCACGGCCCAGAAUUAUUUGGAAAACAAAACAAAAAUAAAUAAAUAAAACAAAACACAAAACAUCAACAACAAUAACCUAUCUCUGGACAGAAAGAAGAGACUUCUGCUAAUGUUCCUGAGGCUCUACCACGUGACAGCUGUCACCUGUUCACAUUGUACCAGAUGACCUAUCCUCUAUAGAUGAGGUAAUGCACAUGGGAGGAUGUGUAGAAGCUAUGGGUCAAAACAUCCUGUCUUCCAGAGUCUUAGACACUUGUAGAGUCUGACACCACAACCACAGGUCCUGAAGGGCAUUUUUCUUUUUUAAUUUAUUUUGGUGGUGCUGGGAAUUGAACCCAGGACCUUGCACUUGACACCUAGGUGUCCCAGAUAUCAGACAUUGUCUUAUAUAUGUAUAACUGUGCACCGUGUGAGUGCCUGGAGCUAGGGACGGUUAUUAAUCGCCAUGGGUGCUCCGCAAUGGUAACUCUUAGCUGCUGAACCAUCUCUCCAGCCCAGGGACAAGUGUUCUUAAUAACACUAAAAUUUCUUCAGGUGGGCUGAAGAGAUGGCGCAGUCAUUAAGCGCGCUGGCUGCUCUUGCAGAGGGCUUGGUGCAGUUCCCAGCACCAACAUGGCGGCUCAACCAUCUCUAUCUCCAGUUCUAGAGGAACAAAUGGGCUCCUCUGACUUCAAAUGGCACUUCUGGCACACGGUACACAGACAUAUAUGCAGGUAAAACACCCACACACAUGAAAUAAUAAUAAUUAUUUUUUUCUUCAGUCCUUCUAGUAAUUGACAUAGCCAGGUCUAGAUUUUCUGAGCUUAAAACCGUGCUAGCAUUAAGUCUGCUUUCUCUGCCAUCACGGGAAGUGGGCCUGUCCUGGGUGUGUGUGUGCCAAGCCCACGUGCCUCUGCUGGUACCCAAGUAGUACCCACUGAUGCUAUGGCUUGGGGAUCUGGCUGGUGGAAUGAGAAAAGCUCACUCAAGUUCCGAUAGAAAAGUCUGUAUACAAAGAACCUAGUGCUGCUACAGGGGACUGACUGUCAAUAGGUUAACUAGGAGGACACACUCCAGGCUGGAGAGGGGAGGCUCCAGCAGAUGUGGUAAGGAUGUGAUUUCCCUCAUGAUGGUGGUUAUGGUAGUGAGAGGAUUCGUGGGAGGAGGGGGGAGACUAGAGCCAGGGGGAAGGGAUAAGGAUGGGUCUUAAUGUGGCCACUUUAGCCAGGAUCCUCAGAACAAACUUUUCCCUAAGGCUUGUAUGACAGAGCUUCUUCCUUCCUCUAGGCCAUGAUGUCCAGUAGGACCUGCGGACACAACAUCCUCUGUAAUUCUCAGACUGGCACUGACCCGGAGGGUUUCAACGCUGCCUUGUGCAAACACAGGUCCAUCCUUUAACCGACUUUCCUCAGGUGACACACCCCCGUCCUUCACACAGCCAGGUCCUGCAAGCACCCUGCUGUCAUUUCCUCUUAGCCCCACCCGUACCCUGGCAGAAGAGACCAGCUGCCUCUCCCCUGUGCUCUUUUGCCACCCAGAACCACCCCUGCCCUUGAUGGAAAGAUCAUGACUGACCUGCUGGGGCCCUGGAAUCGACAAAGUUAAGUCCUCAAUGGCAGGGCUGGCGUCUGGUGGCCACGGGCUGUGAGUUUUGCUUACUCGUGCUAACUCAUUGAUAGGAUACCAGGAGGAGGUGCUGGAGCACCCAGAUUGGCUUACCCCAUCUUGUCAAGAGUAGUCUAAGGCACCGGGUGCUGGGCUAACAGAGGAGGCUCUACUGACCCCACUGAGCUUCAAAACGCCAGCAGCUCACCUCUUGGUGCGAACACAGGAGCCUAACUCAGCUCGAUGAACCCCGGGGCACUGGAACUGGCAUGUUACCCCCAAGCCACAGCCCCUCCUCACAGUCUCACCCCGGUCUCUCCAGAACGGGGUCCCGCUCCGUUUCUACUUUUGGCUCUAUUUCCCAGCUUCCUGUUCGCGUGCGCUUCAGGCUCCAGCAUCACCGAAGCAUCCAC